GUUGCCACUUGCAAAGUUAAGCGUCGGUCUCAUGCUAAGCAUACUGUUGCGUCCAGGUGAUUUGAUACCUGCCUAAUUAUGCAUACGAUUUUCCAGGAAGAUGUUAUCUUGCUUCUCUCAUGGCCAGAUUCGGUGUAUUGCAUUAUAUCAGCUAUGUUUAAAUUGUUCUUGAUGCUACAGGCUAAUCAUCCAUUUCAAUAAAGGGAGCGAUUGUACCCAUCCGAGCUACACUACCAGGGAUCAGUUAUGGACCCUUGCUCAGGAAACUCCGAGGAUAAUCAAGAUCACUUUUUGAAUAUUACUCAAUCUUAUACUAGAAGAACUUGGUGGUUCAAAGGAUGAAUUCCAUCUUGAGCUAUGCGAAUAUAUCUAAGUUUGUGUGACUGUUCUGUUUAACACCUCUACACCAGCGGAGUGUUCUCCUGUGUACCUCUAUGUUUGUGAUAAAGUCAAAAGAACUAUGAAACAGCGGGGGAUUCUUCAUGAUUCCGUUCGUUUGGACACAUAUGUUGACCUGGCGACAAAUACAAUCAUCAUAAGCUUCCUACGGGCUUUGUCAAUAAACAUUUGCUACUCCGUUCGUGA